rnacentral:rRNA from 1 species
AUUGAACGCUGGAGGAAUGCUUUACACAUGCAAGUCGAAUGGCAGCACGGACUUCGGUCUGGUGGCGAGUGGCGAACGGGUGAGUAAUGUAUCGGAACGUGCCCAGUCGUGGGGGAUAACGUAGUGAAAAUUACGCUAAUACCGCAUACGAUCUAUGGAUGAAAGCGGGAGAUCGCAAGACCUCGCGCGAUUGGAGCGGCCGAGAUCAGAUCAGGUAGUUGGUGGGGUAAAGGCCCACCAAGCCAACGAUCUGUAGCUGGUCUGAGAGGACGACCAGCCACACUGGAACUGAGACACGGUCCAGACUCCUACGGGAGGCAGCAGUGGGGAAUUUUGGACAAUGGGCGAAAGCCUGAUCCAGCCAUUCCGCGUGCAGGAUGAAGGCCCUCGGGUUGUAAACUGCUUUUGUACAGAACGAAAAGGUUUCUACUAAUACUAGGAGCUCAUGACGGUACUGUAAGAAUAAGCACCGGCUAACUACGUGCCAGCCGCCGCAGUAA